CUUUGCGGCUCUACUUGAGGAGCAUGACAUCUUCGUCCCCGAGGAUGAUGAUGAUGACGACUGAACCUAGGUCAGUGAUGAGAAGAGAGGGUGCUUUGCAAUAAUGAUGGCAUGCCACUAUGAGGAAGGAGAGAGAGAUGCCCCCUACAGGAGAAGAUUGCCCUCAUCAUGAUCCACCUCCCCAUCGCCUUUUUCUCUCUCCACUCUUUUAGUCCCACUUUCACCUCCUUGCCACGGAUUACUACAUAUUAUUUGAUAUCAUUGUGAGGUCACAGCACAGUCAGACUUCACUUUUGCAUGUGUCUUAUUAUUUACUCAAUAAAGAGUCUACGCGUGUAAAAAAUAACAA